GAGGAUGCCCUGGGACUUGUUCAAUAUGAAAGUUCACAUCCCAUCAGAUUAGAAGGCAAACUUUACUUCCCAAGCUGCCACAAGAAGAAACAUUUUCCAAACACCAAGUAAGCCCUACCACAAAACUGAAUGUUCCAUUUGAAGUGAAAAUCCCAGCAGCUCCGUCGCUUCUCCUUGCGCAGCCCCUUCUUACCCUCCCUCCUGUCUGUCACCUCUUCUAGGAAACCAGCUUUUACGGGGGGUUACAAAGGGAGGGAGUGACUGAUGCCGGACUCCGACAACCUCCCGCGAGCGGGGUUUUCCCGCUCACACCGGUCCGGGGGCGCGGCGGCGGGAGCGGUGCGCGGGGCCGCCCCGGCGCCCAUUGGCUCUGCGGCGGCCCGGGCUCGACGCGGCCCCAUAAAGGCAGCGGGUCGGUCCGUCCGUCCGCUCGGUUGCAGCUGCCCAGCCAUGCCCUCUCCGCCGCACGUCCUGCCCUGGCUGCUCGCCGCCUGCUGCCUCUGCGCCCUCCCGCGGGGCUCAGGGUUCCCCCAGCCUUUUUCGCUCUCCUGGGACGGUGCGGACUUGCCCAAAAGCCAGCUGGCAUUGUGUUUCAGUCAGUGGAUGGAACUGUCUAAUCAACCCCAGAUCUCCAGCACUGUUUUGGAUCUCUGUUAUUCCAUAUUCAAUAGUAUGCAAACAAAUGAGAGCUCAAGAACCAAAACAUCCACUUACACCUGGGGAAUCACAGGUUGCUGCUGCAAAGUUUACAAAGAAGGAUAGUCAUGCAACUCUGGGACGGCCUUUUUUCCUUUUCAGGCCUCGGAAUGGAAGAACUGUUGAAAGCAGUGAAUACCAUGGAAUAUGAAGUUCAUUGGUCGACUUACCAGUGCGAGGACUUGGUUUACAUAAAGAAACUUCCCAUUGCACUAGUUGUCUAUUAUGUGACUCAGUUGUCUGGAUUUUGCUGUUCCAUGUAAUAAAUUUGCAAUCGUUAA